rnacentral:misc_RNA from 1 species
UCCGGUUCAUCACCGGCAGUCUCCUUAGAGUCCCCGCCAUUACGCGUUGGCAACUAAGGAUAAGGGUUGCGCUCGUUACGGGACUUAACCCAACAUCUCACAACACGAGCUGACGACAGCCAUGCAGCACCUGUCUCUAGGUUCCUUUCGGCACUCCCAUAUCUCUACAGAAUUCCUAGGAUGUCAAGGGUAGGUAAGGUUCUUCGCGUUGCAUCGAAUUAAACCACAUGCUCCACCGCUUGUGCGGGCCCCCGUCAAUUUCUUUGAGUUUUAAUCUUGCGACCGUACUCCCCAGGCGGAAAACUUAUCGCGUUAGCUUCGAUACUGAAUAGUCUAAGCUACCCAACAUCUAGUUUUCAUCGUUUACAGCGUGGACUAC